GCCCGCUGACCCAACAGAAGCCGCCGGACGACUCAGAAGCUGCGUCUGGGCUCCGGGAAGCCGGCGACUGCGGAAAAAUGAAUGAUUUCUGCACUGGGAUGAGCAGAACAGAAAACAUCACUGGAAAGGAUAAGCCCUUUGAUUUUGGAUUAUCAGAAUGGAGAACUCCAUCAACUUCCCUGAAGAUUUGUCUCACCUGGAGAUUAUAUAGAAUAUCCUGCAACUAUUAUUACGUUAAUGGAGGGUCAACAUGCUCCUACAGGACUUGUUAAGAAGAGUUCCCCCACCAGCCUGUGGAUGAGACCUGAAAUUCUUCUACCAUAAAUCCAAACUUUAGAAUAAAAUGCCAUCCCUCUCAUGGAAGACCUUGAGAGUUCCGCAGUGACCAUUAUCUUCCCCUUUUUCUUGACAGAUAAAAGCAGAGGAUGCCCACUUAAAUCUGAAUUUCAAAUAAAUAAUGAAUAAUGUUUGGUAUAAAUAUUUCCCAAAUAUUAUAUCCCUAUGCUAAAAAAAAACCACAUUUUUUUUCUUUGUCAGAAAAUCAAAUUUAACAAGGCAUCCUGUAUAUCUAUUUAUUAAACCUGGAAUCCUUCUGAUAACCAAAUGGAAAUUCUCUUUGUGGCAGCAGUCUGCCCAUCAGCAGACAUUAGGUCAUGAUUGGUCUAAAUUAAUCAUUUCCUCAUUUUCCCAGACUUUCUUGCAGCUGGGGGUGUAGUGUCCCGGUCGUUGAGACAUUAAGGGAAGUCUGUACAUAUAUGCAGGAUAUGGCUUGAAAAGACUUUUUUUUUUUUU